UACGUAGGGUGCGAGCGUGAAUCGGAAUUACUGGGCGUAAAGCGUGCGCAGGCGGUUUUGUAAGCCAGAUGUGAAAUCCCCGGGCUUAACCUGGGAAUGGCAUUUGGGACUGCAAGGCUGGAGUGCGGCAGAGGAGACUGGAAUUCCUGGUGUAGCAGUGAAAUGCGUAGAUAUCAGGAGGAAUACCGAUGGCGAAGGCAGGUCUCUGGGCUGACACUGACGCUCAUGCACGAAAGCGUGGGGAGCAAACAGG
rnacentral:rRNA from 1 species